CUAAGUUUGAUGGCGGCCGGCGCACGGGUGAGUAACACGUAUCCAACCCGCCGAUGACUCGGGGAUAGCCUUUCGAAAGAAAGAUUAAUACCCGAUGGCAUAGUUCUUCCGCAUGGUAGAACUAUUAAAGAAUUUCGGUCAUCGAUGGGGAUGCGUUCCAUUAGGUUGUUGGCGGGGUAACGGCCCACCAAGCCUUCGAUGGAUAGGGGUUCUGAGAGGAAGGUCCCCCACAUUGGAACUGGGACACGGUCCAA
rnacentral:rRNA from 1 species